ACGAACGCUGGCGGCGUGCCUAAUCCAUGCAAGUUGAGCGCUGAAGGUUGGUACUUGUACCAACUGGAUGAGCAGCGAACGGGUGAGUAACGCGUGGGGAAUCUGCCUUUGAGCGGGGGACAACAUUUGGAAACGAAUGCUAAUACCGCAUAAAAACUUUAAACACAAGUUUUAAGUUUGAAAGAUGCAAUUGCAUCACUCAAAGAUGAUCCCGCGUUGUAUUAGCUAGUUGGUGAGGUAAAGGCUCACCAAGGCGAUGAUACAUAGCCGACCUGAGAGGGUGAUCGGCCACAUUGGGACUGAGACACGGCCCAAACUCCUACGGGAGGCAGCAGUAGGGAAUCUUCGGCAAUGGACGAAAGUCUGACCGAGCAACGCCGCGGGAGUGAAGAAGGUUUUCGGAUCGUAAAACUCUGUUGGUAGAGAAGAACGUUGGUGAGAGUGGAAAGCUCAUCAAGUGACGGUAACUACCCAGAAAGGGACGGCUAACUACGUG
rnacentral:rRNA from 1 species